CGUGAGCAAGAUUAUCUCCUCCCGCCAGUGUUUGUCCCUUCGUACGAAGGAACCCCACACUGUGACUUCCACCAGGUAUUUGUGAUUUUACCCAACUGAAUCCUUUGUGUAAUUCACGGAUUCAAAUGUUUUGACUACUAGUUUCGUGAUAUUCUUUCUCUCUUUUUUUAGUUUUUUCCUGUUAUAUUGAUGCCCUGGUCAAUCUAGAUGGAUGAGUUUAUUCCAUUUCCACAUAAUUUCGUAUAAAAUUUUUUGGGAGGGUUGCUGCUGUCCCUCGGUUUAAUGCUGUUAUGAAACCGGCUUAUGUUGUGUGUCUCGUAGAAUUGUCCUCGAUGAGAUUUUUUCUUAUUAUGUAUGGGAGGCUCAGUCUAGUGAGGACUUCAGUUCUUCAAAGGUUUACAGGUACCAACUCUUGACAAUACUUUAGUGGAAGAAUCUAAUCGAGCCUAACAAAUGGCAAGAGUGGCACAGAGCAUGGGAGGAAGUUUCCAUCUGUAUUUGGAAAUCUGUGAAGUUCCUGUUAUGUACCAUUUGAGAAGCCCAAGGCCUGGAUCUCCUUCUAAUUCGGCUCUCGAUUUCAACUUCAUCGCUCGUCUUCAAGCUUCGGGAAUCGGUAUUCAGAUUUCUCGCCGCAUUCGUGCUCUUCAAUCGCGAUGCUCUCGCGCUUGAGCUUCAAAUCGUUUACUCGGUCGAUGAACUCGAGCUUGUUACCCGGACCCUCAACAACCCGAAGCCUUUGAGCUUCCAGUUUUCACUUAGCAUGGAAGUUUAUAAACUCAUUCGAUCGCUCCAACAGGAUCAAAUCUCUCUCAUUCUCUGAUUUCUAAUUAUUAUUAUUUUUUAUUCAAUUGGCGACAUUGAUUUCUCGAUAUCUCGCGUGUGUCACCAGCAUUUUGCCCCGGUCAGCGCUGAUUCCACCGACGCAAUCAGUGUAGGAGCUCAUCUCCAGCGACGCUAUCGAUUCAGGAUCUAUAUUUCCUCUUCACCGAGCUUUACCUUUGAUUCUUUCAGAUGUUCGUCGCUGAAGUCUGUUCUUUUUAGGUUGUUGAAGAUCGCGUUGGAUCGGAUUUCCUCUGUUAUGCUCUGUUUUCCGGUCAGAUUGAUCGAAGUAUUCAAAGCUGAUUCGUUUUUCCUUCAUUGGCCCAAUUUUCAACACCAACGCUUCCACGACGUCCGCUCUCCGGUCCGAUCACCAUUCGUAGCCAACCACUGCGCUUUCAAAGAAUGAGCAAGCUGGAAUGCGUAUCGAGAUUCUGAGAUUCGUUUGAGUCGUGAAGGAAAAGAAUCUGAGCUUUAUGGCUUGAUGAUGCUGAAAGGCAUGAACAGAAAUGGUGAUGAAAAUGUAGAAGUAGGAUUUGUGUUCUAGGAAAGAAAUUCUUGAAUCGCCUUUAUAUAGGUGAGGGGAUUUUUUCGUUAAUGAGUGGAUUUUAGCUGCGUUAAUAUUGUCUACGCAAAAAUAACUACGAAUAAGAAUUGUUCUUCACGAUCUCCA